GACGAACGCUGGCGGCGUGCUUAACACAUGCAAGUCGAACGGAAAGGCCCUGCUUUUGUGGGGUGCUCGAGUGGCGAACGGGUGAGUAACACGUGAGUAACCUGUCCUUGACUUUGGGAUAACUUCAGGAAAAUGGGGCUAAUACCCGAUAGGAGCUCCUGCUGCAUGGUGGGGGUUGGAAAGUUUCGGCGGUUGGGGAUGGACUCGCGGCUUAUCAGCUUGUUGGUGGGGUAGUGGCUUACCAAGGUUUUGACGGGUAGCCGGCCUGAGCGGGUGACCGGCCACAUUGGGACUGAGAGACGGCCCAGACGCCUAUGGGAGGCAGCAGUGGGGAGUAUUGCACAGUGGGCGGAAGCCUGAUGCAGCAACGCCGCGUGCGGGAUGACGGCCUUCGGGUUGUAAACCGCUUUCGCCGGUGACGAAGCGUGAGUGACGGUAAUGGGUAAAGAAGCACUGGCUAACUACGUG
rnacentral:rRNA from 1 species